CUGGUCUGAGAGGAUGAUCAGUCACACUGGAACUGAGACACGGUCCAGACUCCUACGGGAGGCAGCAGUGGGGAAUAUUGGACAAUGGGCGAAAGCCUGAUCCAGCCAUGCCGCGUGUGUGAAGAAGGUCUUCGGAUUGUAAAGCACUUUAAGUUGGGAGGAAGGGCAUUAACCUAAUACGUUAGUGUUUUGACGUUACCGACAGAAUAAGCACCGGCUAACUCUGUGCCAGCAGCCGCGGUAAUACAGAGGGUGCAAGCGUUAAUCGGAAUUACUGGGCGUAAAGCGCGCGUAGGUGGUUUGUUAAGUUGGAUGUGAAAGCCCCGGGCUCAACCUGGGAACUGCAUUCAAAACUGACAAGCUAGAGUAUGGUAGAGGGUGGUGGAAUUUCCUGUGUAGCGGUGAAAUGCGUAGAUAUAGGAAGGAACACCAGUGGCGAAGGCGACCACCUGGACUGAUACUGACACUGAGGUGCGAAAGCGUGGGGAGCAAACAGGAUUAGAUACCCUGGUAGUCCACGCCGUAAACGAUGUCAACUAGCCGUUGGGAGCCUUGAGCUCUUAGUGGCGCAGCUAACGCAUUAAGUUGACCGCCUGGGGAGUACGGCCGCAAGGUUAAAACUCAAAUGAAUUGACGGGGGCCCGCACAAGCGGUGGAGCACGUGGUUUAAUUCGAAGCAACGCGAAGAACCUUACCAGGCCUUGACAUCCAAUGAACUUUCCAGAGAUGGAUUGGUGCCUUCGGGAACAUUGAGACAGGUGCUGCAUGGCUGUCGUCAGCUCGUGUCGUGAGAUGUUGGGUUAAGUCCCGUAACGAGCGCAACCCUUGUCCUUAGUUACCAGCACGUUAUGGUGGGCACUCUAAGGAGACUGCCGGUGACAAACCGGAGGAAGGUGGGAUGACGUCAAGUCAUCAUGCCCUUACGGCCUGGGCUACACACGUGCUACAAUGGUCGGUACAGAGGGUUGCCAAGCCGCGAGGUGGAGCUAAUCCCACAAAACCGAUCGUAGUCCGGAUCGCAGUCUGCAACUCGACUGCGUGAAGUCGGAAUCGCUAGUAAUCGCGAAUCAGAAUGUCGCGGUGAAUACGUUCCCGGGCCUUGUACACACCGCCCGUCACACCAUGGGAGUGGGUUGCACCAGAAGUAGCUAGUCUAACCUUCGGGAGGACGGUUACCACGGAGUGAUU
rnacentral:rRNA from 1 species